rnacentral:tRNA from 1 species
CAGAGGAUAGUUUAAUAAAAAUAUUAAUUUUGGAGAUUAAUGAUAAAAGGUAACUUUUUUCUCUGA